rnacentral:rRNA from 1 species
UACGUAGGGUGCAAGCGUUAAUCGGAAUUACUGGGCGUAAAGCGUGCGUAGACGGUUAUGUAAGUCGGAUGUGAAAGCCCCGGGCUCAACCUGGGAAUUGCAUUCGAGACUGCAUAGCUAGGAUGCGGAAGAGGGAAGCGGAAUUUCCGGUGUAGCGGUGAAAUGCGUAGAUAUCGGAAGGAACAUCAGUGGCGAAAGCGGCUUCCUGGUCCAGCAUCGACGUUCAGGCACGAAAGCGUGGGGAGCAAACAGG